GCCGGGCAACAAUCACAUAGACAGGAGCCCAACAAUCACCGUAUGCUUUAAAAGCACAGCAUGGCUGUUUACACCAAUGGAGGACAACUUACUGUAACCAGGCAGGGUUGUGCCCUGUCACCCAGACUGGAGUCCAG